GCAGGAUCCGUUCCGGUGCUGGUGGAAAGGGACCAGAACGGAUUCGUUGGGUGAUCUCCGCGCCCUUCCCGGGGCGCGGGUGUCCUACAGCCGUUCGGCGUCUGGGAGUUCCCGCUCUCAGGCGCCGUCG
rnacentral:ncRNA from 1 species